AAUGGGGAAACCCAGUGUGUUUCGACACACUAUCAUUAACUGAAUCCAUAGGUUAAUGAGGCGAACCGGGGGAACUGAAACAUCUAAGUACCCCGAGGAAAAGAAAUCAACCGAGAUUCCCCCAGUAGCGGCGAGCGAACGGGGAGGAGCCCAGAGCCUGAAUCAGUGUGUGUGUUAGUGGAAGCGUCUGGAAAGGCGCGCGAUACAGGGUGACAGCCCCGUACACAAAAAUGCACAUAUUGUGAGCUCGAUGAGUAGGGCGGGACACGUGGUAUCCUGUCUGAAUAUGGGGGGACCAUCCUCCAAGGCUAAAUACUCCUGACUGACCGAUAGUGAACCAGUACCGUGAGGGAAAGGCGAAAAGAACCCCGGCGAGGGGAGUGAAAAAGAACCUGAAACCGUGUACGUACAAGCAGUGGGAGCCUCUUAAUGGGGUGACUGCGUACCUUUUGUAUAAUGGGUCAGCGACUUAUAUUCUGUAGCAAGGUUAACCGAAUAGGGGAGCCGAAGGGAAACCGAGUCUUAACUGGGCGUUAAGUUGCAGGGUAUAGACCCGAAACCCGGUGAUCUAGCCAUGGGCAGGUUGAAGGUUGGGUAACACUAACUGGAGGACCGAACCGACUAAUGUUGAAAAAUUAGCGGAUGACUUGUGGCUGGGGGUGAAAGGCCAAUCAAACCGGGAGAUAGCUGGUUCUCCCCGAAAGCUAUUUAGGUAGCGCCUCGUGAAUUCAUCUCCGGGGGUAGAGCACUGUUUCGGCAAGGGGGUCAUCCCGACUUACCAACCCGAUGCAAACUGCGAAUACCGGAGAAUGUUAUCACGGGAGACACACGGCGGGUGCUAACGUCCGUCGUGAAGAGGGAAACAACCCAGACCGCCAGCUAAGGUCCCAAAGUCAUGGUUAAGUGGGAAACGAUGUGGGAAGGCCCAGACAGCCAGGAUGUUGGCUUAGAAGCAGCCAUCAUUUAAAGAAAGCGUAAUAGCUCACUGGUCGAGUCGGCCUGCGCGGAAGAUGUAACGGGGCUAAACCAUGCACCGAAGCUGCGGCAGCGACACUAUGUGUUGUUGGGUAGGGGAGCGUUCUGUAAGCCUGUGAAGGUGGCCUGUGAGGGUUGCUGGAGGUAUCAGAAGUGCG
rnacentral:rRNA from 1 species